AGAAGCUACGAAGGGCGCACGGUGAAUGCCUGGGCGUCAAAUGCCGAUGAAGGACGUGGUACACUGCGAAAAGCCUCGGGGAGUUGUGUGCGAACGCUAUAUCCGAGGAUAUCCGAAUGGGGAAACCCGGCGGGAAGAACUCCCGUCACCGGUGGCUGAACACAUAGGCCAUCUGGAGGGAACGAGGGGAACUGAAACAUCUCAGUACCCUCAGGAAAAGAAAGGAUUCCCUGAGUAGUGGCGAGCGAAAGGGGAAAAGCCCAAACCGGUUGGCACGUCCAACCGGGGUUGUAGGAAACGACCGCGAAGGUCUGGAGACCGGUAGCAGAAGCUGACUGGAAAGAAGCACCAGAGAGGGUGAGAGUCCCGUAAGCGAAACGGGUUGAAGGGCUGGUCGUUUUCCUGAGUACGACGGAGCACGCUAACUCUGUCGGAAGCUGGGAGGUCCACCUUCCAAGGCUAAAUACAUUUGACGACCGAUAGCGAACAAGUACCGUGAGGGAAAGGUGAAAAGACCCCUGGUAAAGGGAGUGAAAGAGAACCUGAAACCGUGUGCCUACAAACGGUCGGAGGGCUAUGGCGGCUGCGCGAGCGGUCGCAAGGCCUGACGGCGUGCCUUUUGGAGAAUGAGCCAGCGAGUUAAUCUCAGUGGCCGGUUAAGGGAGAGACACCCGGAGCCGGAGCGAAAGCGAGUCUGAAGAGGGCGCGGGCAGCGCAAGCUGCCGUGUGGUCGCUGGGAUUAGACACGAAACCAGGUGAGCUACCCAUGUGCAGGCUGAAGCGAGACUAACCUCUCGUGGAGGGCCGAACCCACUCAUGUUGCAAAAUGAGGGGAUGACGUGUGGGUAGGGGUGAUAUGCCAAACGAACCUGGAGAUAGCUUGUUCUCUCCGAAAUAGCUUUAGGGCUAGCGUUGCACGAGAGUGACGGGGGUAGAGCACUGGAUGAGCUAGGGGGCGCAAGCUUACCGAACUCAACCAAACUCCGAAUACCGUCAGUUGCUGUGCAGCAGUCGGACUGCGGGAGAUGAGUUUCGCAGUCGAGAGGGAAAGAGCCCAGACCGCCGGCUAAGGUCCUUAAGUCGAUGCUCAGUGGGAAACGAUGUGCGCGUGUCGAGACAGCCAGGAGGUUGGCUUAGAAGCAGCCACCCUUUAAAGAGUGCGUAAUAGCUCACUGGUCGAACGCGCGUGCGCGGAAAAUGUAACGGGGCUCAAGCAUCGCACCGAAGCCACGGAAGGUGACGGCGAGAGUCGUCAGCUUGGUAGGAGAGCGUUCUGUUGGAGAAACGAGCCAUACCGGAAGGAGUGGUGCGGCCAACAGAAGUGAGAAUGCUGGCAUGAGUAGCGAGAAACGUGUGAGAACCACGUUCCCCGAAAACCUAAGGUUUCCGACGGAAGGUCAAUCCGCGUCGGGUUAGUCGGGCCUUAGCCGAGGCCGGAAGGCGUAGGCGAUGGACAUCCGGUUAAUAUUCCGGAACCGAGACCAGGGAGCGAAGGGGGGACGCAGCGUGGCAGGUCAGCCUCUUAAUGGAUUGAGGUGCCAAGCGGACAGGACGAUGAGAGAAGCAGGGAAAUCCGCUUCUGGAGUCUGAGCCGUGAUGGCGUGCGCAAGCAAGAAGUGACUGGCCCAGGCUGCCGAGAAAAGCCUCUAAGCGAUGAACUGGUUUUGCCCGUACCGCAAACCGACACAGGUAGGUGGGUGGAGAACACCAAGGGGACCGAGAGAACCUUCGUUAAGGAAUUAGGCAAAAUAACUCCGUAACUUCGGGAGAAGGAGUGCCUGAGGCAACUCAGGCCGCAGUGAAAAGGCCCUGUCAACUGUUUAACAAAAACACAGGUCUCUGCUAAGUCGCAAGACGACGUAUAGGGGCUGACGCCUGCCCAGUGCCGGAAGGUUAAGGGGAGAGGUUAGGUGCGCUCAGGUGCGCCGACGCUUUGAACCGAAGCCCCGGUGAACGGCGGCCGUAACUAUAACGGUCCUAAGGUAGCGAAAUUCCUUGUCGGGUAAGUUCCGACCCGCACGAAUGGCGUAAUGAGCGGGGCACUGUCUCAACGAAGGACUCGGCGAAGAUUGAAGUACGUGUAAAGAUGCGCGUUACCCGCAGCAGGACAAAAAGACCCCGUGGAGCUUUACUACAGCUUGACAUUGCGCCCGGGCUGAGUCUGUGUAGGAUAGGUGGGAGGCUGCGAAGCUGGGGCGCCAGCCUCGGUGGAGCCAUUGGUGAAAUACCACCCUGACUCAGUCUUGGCCCUAACCUGGCCGCCUGAAGCGGCGCUGGGGACAGUGUCUGGUGGGUAGUUUGACUGGGGCGGUCGCCUCCGAAAGCGUAACAGAGGCGCCCAAAGGUUCGCUCAGGCUGAAUGGAAACCAGCCGCAGAGUGUAAAGGCAGAAGCGAGCUUGACUGCAAGAGAGACACCUCGAGCAGGCACGAAAGUGGGGCUUAGUGAUCCCACGGCACCGCGUGGAAGGGCCGUGGCUUACCGGAUAAAAGCUACCCCGGGGAUAACAGGCUAGU
rnacentral:rRNA from 1 species